rnacentral:rRNA from 1 species
GACGAACGCUGGCGGCGUGCCUAAUACAUGCAAGUUGAGCGCUGAAGGCUGGUACUUGUACCAACUGGAUGAGCAGCGAACGGGUGAGUAACGCGUGGGGAAUCUGCCUUUGAGCGGGGGACAACAUUUGGAAACGAAUGCUAAUACCGCAUAAAAACUUUAAACACAAGUUUGAAGUUUGAAAGAUGCAAUUGCAUCACUCAAAGAUGAUCCCGCGUUGUAUUAGCUAGUUGGUGAGGUAAAGGCUCACCAAGGCGAUGAUACAUAGCCGACCUGAGAGGGUGGUCGGCCACAUUGGGACUGAGACACGGCCCAAACGCCUACGGGAAGCAGCAGUAGGGAAUCUUCGGCAAUGGACGAAAGUCUGACCGAGCAACGCCGCGUGAGUGAAGAAGGUUUUCGGGUCGUAAAACUCUGUUGGUAGAGAAGAACGUUGGUGAGAGUGGAAAGCUCAUCAAGUGACGGUAACUACCCAGAAAGGAACGGCUAACUACGUG